UGGGGAAUAUUGCACAAUGGGCGCAAGCCUGAUGCAGCCAUGCCGCGUGUAUGAAGAAGGCCUUCGGGUUGUAAAGUACUUUCAGCGGGGAGGAAGGGAGUAAAGUUAAUACCUUUGCUCAUUGACGUUACCCGCAGAAGAAGCACCGGCUAACUCCGUGCCAGCAGCCGCGGUAAUACGGAGGGUGCAAGCGUUAAUCGGAAUUACUGGGCGUAAAGCGCACGCAGGCGGUUUGUUAAGUCAGAUGUGAAAUCCCCGGGCGCAACCUGGGAACUGCAUCUGAUACUGGCAAGCUUGAGUCUCGUAGAGGGGGGUAGAAUUCCAGGUGUAGCGGUGAAAUGCGUAGAGAUCUGGAGGAAUACCGGUGGCGAAGGCGGCCCCCUGGACGAAGACUGACGAUCAGGUGCGAAAGCGUGGGGAGCAAACAGG
rnacentral:rRNA from 1 species